rnacentral:rRNA from 1 species
UACGAGGGGGGCAAGCGUUGUUCGGAAUUAUUGGGCGUAAAGGGCGCGUAGGCGGUGCGGUAAGUCACCUGUGAAAUCUCCGGGCUCAACUCGGAGCCUGCAGGCGAAACUGCCGUGCUGGAGUGUGGGAGAGGUGCGUGGAAUUCCCGGUGUAGCGGUGAAAUGCGCAGAUAUCGGGAGGAACACCCGUAGCGAAGGCGGCACUCUGGGCCGGAACUGACGCUGAGGAGCGAAAGCGUGGGGAGCAAACAGG